AACGAACGCUGGCGGCAUGCCUAACACAUGCAAGUCGAACGAGACCUUCGGGUCUAGUGGCGCACGGGUGCGUAACGCGUGGGAACCUGCCUUUAGGUUCGGAAUCACUCAGAGAAAUUUGAGCUAAUACCGGAUGAUGUCUUCGGACCAAAGAUUUAUCGCCUUUAGAUGGGCGCGCGUUGGAUUAGCUAGUUGGUGGGGUAAAGGCCUACCAAGGCGACGAUCCAUAGCUGGUCUGAGAGGAUGAUCAGCCACACUGGGACUGAGACACGGCCCAGACUCCUACGGGAAGCAGCAGUGGGGAAUAUUGGACAAUGCGCGAAAGCCUGACCCAGCAAUGCCGCGUGAGUGAUGAAGGCCUUAGGGUUGUAAAGCUCUUUUACCCGAGAUGAUAAUGACAGUAUCGGGAGAAUAAGCUCCGGCUAACUACGUG
rnacentral:rRNA from 1 species